AGGUUUGAUCAUGGCUCAGGAUGAACGCUAGCGGCAGGCCUAAUACAUGCAAGUCGAACGAUACUUUCCAGCUUGCUGGAAAGGAAAGUGGCGCACGGGUGCGUAACGCGUAUGCAACCUACCUUAAUCAGGGGGAUAGCCCGAAGAAAUUCGGAUUAACACCGCAUAAAAACACAGGAUAGCAUUAUCCAAUGUUCAAAUAUUUAUAGGAUUAAGAUGGGCAUGCGUGUCAUUAGCUAGUUGGCGGGGUAACGGCCCACCAAGGCGACGAUGACUAGGGGAUCUGAGAGGAUGACCCCCCACACUGGUACUGAGACACGGGCCAGACUCCUACGGGAGGCAGCAGUAAGGAAUAUUGGUCAAUGGAGGCAACUCUGAACCAGCCAUGCCGCGUGCAGGAAGACAGCCCUCUGGGUCGUAAACUGCUUUUAUUCGGGAAUAAACCUAUUUACGUGUAGAUAGCUGAAUGUACCGAAGGAAUAAGGAUCGGCUAACUCCGUGCCAGCCGCCGCGGUAAUA
rnacentral:rRNA from 1 species